AGAGUUUGAUCCUGGCUCAGGACGAACGCUGGCGGCGUGCCUAACACAUGCAAGUCGAACGGAGAAUUUUAUUUCGGUAGAAUUCUUAGUGGCGAACGGGUGAGUAACGCGUAGGCAACCUGCCCUUUAGACGGGGACAACAUUCCGAAAGGAGUGCUAAUACCGGAUGUGAUCAUCGUGCCGCAUGGCAGGAUGAAGAAAGAUGGCCUCUACAAGUAAGCUAUCGCUAAAGGAUGGGCCUGCGUCUGAUUAGCUAGUUGGUAGUGUAACGGACUACCAAGGCGAUGAUCAGUAGCCGGUCUGAGAGGAUGAACGGCCACAUUGGGACUGAGACACGGCCCAAACUCCUACGGGAGGCAGCAGUGGGGAAUCUUCCGCAAUGGACGAAAGUCUGACGGAGCAACGCCGCGUGAGUGAUGAAGGAUUUCGGUCUGUAAAGCUCUGUUGUUUAUGACGAACGUGCAGUGUGUGAACAAUGCAUUGCAAUGACGGUAGUAAACGAGGAAGCCACGGCUAACUACGUGCCAGCAGCCGCGGUAAUACGUAGGUGGCGAGCGUUGUCCGGAAUUAUUGGGCGUAAAGAGCAUGUAGGCGGCUUAAUAAGUCGAGCGUGAAAAUGCGGGGCUCAACCCCGUAUGGCGCUGGAAACUGUUAGGCUUGAGUGCAGGAGAGGAAAGGGGAAUUCCCAGUGUAGCGGUGAAAUGCGUAGAUAUUGGGAGGAACACCAGUGGCGAAGGCGCCUUUCUGGACUGUGUCUGACGCUGAGAUGCGAAAGCCAGGGUAGCGAACGGGAUUAGAUACCCCGGUAGUCCUGGCCGUAAACGAUGGGUACUAGGUGUAGGAGGUAUCGACUCCUUCUGUGCCGGAGUUAACGCAAUAAGUACCCCGCCUGGGGAGUACGGCCGCAAGGUUGAAACUCAAAGGAAUUGACGGGGGCCCGCAC
rnacentral:rRNA from 1 species